rnacentral:rRNA from 1 species
UACGAAGGGGGCUAGCGUUGCUCGGAAUUACUGGGCGUAAAGGGCGCGUAGGCGGAUCGUUAAGUCAGAGGUGAAAGCCCAGGGCUCAACCCUGGAAUUGCCUUUGAUACUGGCGAUCUUGAGUACGGGAGAGGUGUGUGGAACUCCGAGUGUAGAGGUGAAAUUCGUAGAUAUUCGGAAGAACACCGGUGGCGAAGGCGGCGACCUGGUCCUUAUACUGACGCUGAGGCGCGAAAGCGUGGGGAGCAAACAGG